rnacentral:rRNA from 1 species
UACGUAGGCAGCAAGCGUUGUUCGGAGUUACUGGGCGUAAAGGGUGCGUAGGCGGUUGUUUAAGUUUGGUGUGAAAUCUCCCGGCUCAACUGGGAGGGUGCGCCGAAUACUGAAUGACUAGAGUGCGGGAGAGGAAAGUGGAAUUCCUGGUGUAGCGGUGAAAUGCGUAGAUAUCAGGAGGAACACCGGUGGUGUAGACGGCUUUCUGGACCGUAACUGACGCUGAGACACGGAAAGCGUGGGUAGCAAACAGG